AAUAUUGGUCAAUGGAGGCAACUCUGAACCAGCCAAGUCGCGUGAAGGAUGUCUGCCCUACGUGUUGUAAACUUCUUUUUUAAGGGAAUAAAGUGAGCCACGUGUGGCUUCUUGCAUGUACCUUACGAAUAAGUAUCGGCUAACUCCUCGCCAGGAGCUGCGGUAAUACGGAGGAUCCGAGCGUUAUCCGGAUUUAUUGGGUUUAAAGGGUGCGCAGGCGGAAUAUUAAGUCGGCGGUGAAAGUUUGCAGCUUAACUGUAAAAUUGCCGUUGAAACUGGUUUCCUUGAGUGUAUAUGAAGUAGGCGGAAUUUGUAGUGUAGCGGUGAAAUGCAUAGAUAUUACAAGGAACUCCGAUUGCGAAGGCAGCUUACUAAAAUACAACUGACGCUCAGGCACGAAGGCGUGGGUAUCAAACA
rnacentral:rRNA from 1 species